rnacentral:lncRNA from 1 species
UGGGCAAGGGAGUGAUCCACAUUUAUAGCCAGUUAUAAACAGUGUUUUAUCAUUGUUGUCACUUCGUCCACCAGGAAUAAACUCUGGUUGUUUGUCAAUACAGACAAAAGACGAUGCCGCGUGGUGGUAAGCCCCAGAUGCAAGAAAUCCACUGUAUUCUAUUCUCCAACCAUUGAAGCAUGACCUUCUUCCAGGAAUCAUUACAGUUGUUGAUGCAUUGCUAAGACAAAGGGCACAUGGCACAUCCUGAUUUUGAGCAUCAGACCCGAACCGCGAAUCGUCAUAUUCUGAUCCGUAGAUAUAGCUAUUGGUACCUGCAGUAGUGUUACUUAGUUCGGGGUGAUCAGGUAGACAUAGCAUGUUAGAUGGGCCUCCUCGAUAAUAAUCAUUUCCAUAGAAGAAUUUUUGACCAGAUGAGUAAC